rnacentral:rRNA from 1 species
AGAGUUUGAUCAUGGCUCAGAUUGAACGCUGGCGGCAUGCCUUACACAUGCAAGUCGAACGGCAGCACGGGUGCUUGCACCUGGUGGCGAGUGGCGAACGGGUGAGUAAUAUACCGGAACGUACCCUAGAGUGGGGGAUAACGUAGCGAAAGUUACGCUAAUACCGCAUACGAUCUACGGAUGAAAGUGGGGGAUCGCAAGACCUCAUGCUCAUGGAGCGGCCGAUAUCUGAUUAGCUAGUUGGUGGGGUAAAAGCCUACCAAGGCGACGAUCAGUAGCUGGUCUGAGAGGACGACCAGCCACACUGGAACUGAGACACGGUCCAGACUCCUACGGGAGGCAGCAGUGGGGAAUUUUGGACAAUGGGGGCAACCCUGAUCCAGCAAUGCCGCGUGAGUGAAGAAGGCCUUCGGGUUGUAAAGCUCUUUUGUCAGGGAAGAAACGGGAUUUUCUAAUACAAAGUCCUAAUGACGGUACCUGAAGAAUAAGCACCGGCUAACUACGUGCCAGCAGCCGCGGUAAUACGUAGGGUGCAAGCGUUAAUCGGAAUUACUGGGCGUAAAGCGUGCGCAGGCGGUUGUGCAAGACAGAUGUGAAAUCCCCGGGCUCAACCUGGGAAUUGCAUUUGUGACUGCACGGCUAGAGUGUGUCAGAGGGGGGUAGAAUUCCACGUGUAGCAGUGAAAUGCGUAGAGAUGUGGAGGAAUACCGAUGGCGAAGGCAGCCCCCUGGGAUAACACUGACGCUCAUGCACGAAAGCGUGGGGAGCAAACAGGAUUAGAUACCCUGGUAGUCCACGCCCUAAACGAUGUCUACUAGUUGUCGGGUCUUAAUUGACUUGGUAACGCAGCUAACGCGUGAAGUAGACCGCCUGGGGAGUACGGUCGCAAGAUUAAAACCCAAAGGAAUUGACGGGGACCCGCACAAGCGGUGGAUGAUGUGGAUUAAUUCGAUGCAACGCGAAAAACCUUACCUACCCUUGACAUGUACGGAACUUACCAGAGAUGGUUUGGUGCUCGAAAGAGAACCGUAACACAGGUGCUGCAUGGCUGUCGUCAGCUCGUGUCGUGAGAUGUUGGGUUAAGUCCCGCAACGAGCGCAACCCUUGUCAUUAGUUGCUACGAAAGGGCACUCUAAUGAGACUGCCGGUGACAAACCGGAGGAAGGUGGGGAUGACGUCAAGUCCUCAUGGCCCUUAUGGGUAGGGCUUCACACGUCAUACAAUGGUACAUACAGAGGGCCGCCAACCCGCGAGGGGGAGCUAAUCCCAGAAAGUGUAUCGUAGUCCGGAUUGUAGUCUGCAACUCGACUACAUGAAGUUGGAAUCGCUAGUAAUCGCGGAUCAGCAUGUCGCGGUGAAUACGUUCCCGGGUCUUGUACACACCGCCCGUCACACCAUGGGAGCGGGUUUCACCAGAAGUAGGUAGCCUAACCGCAAGGAGGGCGCUUACCACGGUGGGAUUCGUGACUGGGGUGAAGUCGUAACAAGGUA